UAAUAAUUAUUUUCUCAGUAUGAUGGACUC
rnacentral:piRNA from 1 species